UCUUUUUUAUGGUGGAGAAAAGAAGAUUCAGCGUUAAAAGUACAACGAAUAUAUUAUGGAGGUUUCACUGAGUCACGGUUUAGUGAUAUGAUGUGAGGCUAGUCUCUGCUGGUUAAAUUCUGGUUUAUUGGUUACUGGUAGUAGUUUUACACCAUUCCAGAAAUUCAGAGGGACUGUUAACUCCUGAUGGAAGAUCAAUAUUGAUGGAAAUGAAGGAUAUUAUAAAGGUUUAUACAGACUGCUGUAAUUUAGCUGAAUCAAUGGGAAUCGGUAUAAAUACACAGUUUGAAGUAACCGGUAUAUAUAUCAUCAAUGGUGCAAUAAAUGAACAUGACGAAGCUUUAAUUGAUGACAAUAGUAGUGAAAUAUUCAGUGAAAUAGAUGAUGAUGUAUUUAUAUCUC